UGAGGAAUAUUGGUCAAUGGGCGAAAGCCUGAACCAGCCAAGUCGCGUGGAGGAAGACGGCCCUACGGGUUGUAAACUCCUUUUACCUGGGAAUAACGGGCGCUACGCGUAGCGCUGUGCAAGUACCGGGCGAAUAAGCAUCGGCUAAUUCCGUGCCAGCAGCCGCGGUAAUACGGAAGAUGCGAGCGUUAUCCGGAUUUAUUGGGUUUAAAGGGUGCGUAGGCGGAAGAAUAAGUCAGCGGUGAAAUGCUUCAGCUCAACUGGAGAAUUGCCGAUGAAACUGUUUUUCUAGAGUAUAAAAGAGGUAUGCGGAAUGCGUGGUGUAGCGGUGAAAUGCAUAGAUAUCACGCAGAACCCCGAUUGCGAAGGCAGCAUACUGGGCUAUAACUGACGCUGAAGCACGAAAGCGUGGGUAUCGAACAGGAUUAGAUACCCUGGUAGUCCACGCCGUAAACGAUGAAUACUAACUGUUUGCGAUAUAAUGUAAGCGGUACAGCGAAAGCGUUAAGUAUUCCACCUGGGGAGUACGCCGGCAACGGUGAAACUCAAAGGAAUUGACGGGGGCCCGCACAAGCGGAGGAACAUGUGGUUUAAUUCGAUGAUACGCGAGGAACCUUACCCGGGCUCAAACGACAGGGGAAUAAUCCCGAAAAGGAUUAGCCAGCAAUGGCCGCUGUCGAGGUGCUGCAUGGUUGUCGUCAGCUCGUGCCGUGAGGUGUCGGCUUAAGUGCCAUAACGAGCGCAACCCUUACCGGUAGUUACUAACAGGUCAAGCUGAGGACUCUACCGGGACUGCCAGCGCAAGCUGUGAGGAAGGUGGGGAUGACGUCAAAUCAGCACGGCCCUUACGUCCGGGGCGACACACGUGUUACAAUGGCAGGUACAGAGAGUCGCGUCGUAGCAAUACGUAGCCAAUCCCGAAAACCUGUCUCAGUUCGGAUCGGAGUCUGCAACUCGACUCCGUGAAGCUGGAUUCGCUAGUAAUCGCGCAUCAGCCAUGGCGCGGUGAAUACGUUCCC
rnacentral:rRNA from 1 species